rnacentral:lncRNA from 1 species
CAUUACAAAAUGUCUUCUCAGGCUUAUACACUGAAGGACUACAAAAACAUGAAACAGGAGGUGAAGCUUGGAUGUCUUGGACCAACGAACACAAUACCAGAAACUGUGGCAGAGAAAAUUAGACGACAGAAGCUGUAUUCAAAUAUGAUCCGCGAACAGAACAAGAAGAUAAGUAGGAUUCCCUCUCUGUUGGCCAAGGACCCAGUGGGCAGUGACAACAAGGACAUCGUUCCCAGGAGGAAGGCUUUAGAAUAUGCCAAAACGAUUGCAAAGCCCCAACCCCCUCCAAAGCCAAAGGAUAGAACCAGAGAGCAGAACGUGAGCACGCGGC